rnacentral:ncRNA from 1 species
GAGGAAGCCCGGUGCGAAUCCGGCGCGGUCCCGCCACUGUGAACCCCGCGGAGCGACACCCGCGACCGGGGUGAGUCAGGAACUC